GUAACAUCAUGAUAAAAAUCAAUUUCAUAAUUAACAAUCUUUUUUGUGUAACAAGAAACAAUUUUCCAUAUACAGGUUAGCCUAUGUACAUAGAAAUCUCUAACAAUAUAAGCCUCUAGCCUCUGUACAUGGCAAUUUCUAACAAUUUCCCUAAUCAAGAUAAAGUCUUACAAAAAUUGUGUGUACGUAAGAAAUAACAUUCUUUGUUCAUAUGUUU
rnacentral:lncRNA from 1 species